rnacentral:rRNA from 1 species
AACGAACGCUGGCGGCAGGCUUAACACAUGCAAGUCGAACGCGUGUAGCAAUACACGAGUGGCGCACGGGUGAGUAACACGUGGAUAUCUGCCUUUUGGUUCGGAAUAACUCCGGGAAACUGGAGCUAAUACCGGAUGGUUCCUACGGGAUAAAGAUUUAUCGCCAAAAGAUGAGUCCGCGCACGAUUAGCAAGUUGGUGAGGAACGGCUCACCAAGGCGACGAUCGUUAGCUGGUCUGAGAGGACGAUCAGCCACACUGGGACUGAGACACGGCCCAGACUCCUACGGGAGGCAGCAGUGGGGAAUAUUGGACAAUGGGGGCAACCCUGAUCCAGCCAUGCCGCGUGAGUGAUGAAGGCCUUCGGGUUGUAAAGCUCUUUUGGCGGGGACGAUGAUGACGGUACCCGCAGAAUAAGCCCCGGCUAACUUCGUGCCAGCAGCCGCAGUAA